rnacentral:rRNA from 1 species
GAUGAACGCUAGCGAUAGGCCUAACACAUGCAAGUCGAGGGGCAGCAUAGAGUAGCAAUACUUUGAUGGCGACCGGCGCACGGGUGAGUAACACGUAUGCAACCUACCUACAUCAGGGGAAUAACCCGGAGAAAUUCGGACUAAUACCGCAUAAUACAGGGAUGCCGCAUGGCAAUAUUUGUUAAAGAUUUAUCGGAUGUAGAUGGGCAUGCGUUCCAUUAGCUAGUUGGUAAGGUAACGGCAUACCAAGGCAACGAUGGAUAGGGGAACUGGGAGGUUUGUCCCCCACACUGGAACUGAGACACGGACCAGACUCCUACGGGAGGCAGCAGUGAGGAAUAUUGGUCAAUGGACGAGAGUCUGAACCAGCCAAAUCGCGUGAAGGAAGGCUGCCCUACGGGUUGUAAACUUCUUUUGUACAGGAAUAAAAGACAUUACGUGUAAUGUAUUGCAUGUACUGUACGAAUAAGCAUUGGCUAACUCCGUGCCAGCCGCCGCCGUAA